GGGUUGUGAGGUUAAGCGACUAAGCGUACACGGUGGAUGCCCUGGCAGUCAGAGGCGAUGAAGGACGUGCUAAUCUGCGAAAAGCGCCGGCGAGGUGAUAUGAACCUUUGACCCGGCGAUGUCCGAAUGGGGAAACCCAGUGCAAUUCGUUGCACUAUCGUUAACUGAAUACAUAGGUUAACGAGGCGAACCGGGGGAACUGAAACAUCUAAGUACCCCGAGGAAAAGAAAUCAACCGAGAUUCCCCCAGUAGCGGCGAGCGAACGGGGAGGAGCCCAGAGUCUGAAUCAGUUUGUGUGUUAGUGGAACGGUCUGGAAAGUCCGGCGAUACAGGGUGAAAGUCCCGUACACGAAAAUGCACAGGCUGUGAACUCGAAGAGUAGGGCGGGACACGUGGUAUCCUGUCUGAAUAUGGGGGGACCAUCCUCCAAGGCUAAAUACUCCUGACUGACCGAUAGUGAACCAGUACCGUGAGGGAAAGGCGAAAAGAACCCCGGCGAGGGGAGUGAAAAAGAACCUGAAACCGUGUACGUACAAGCAGUGGGAGCACCCUUCGGGGUGUGACUGCGUACCUUUUGUAUAAUGGGUCAGCGACUUAUAUUCUGUAGCAAGGUUAACCGAAUAGGGGAGCCGAAGGGAAACCGAGUCUUAACUGGGCGUUAAGUUGCAGGGUAUAGACCCGAAACCCGGUGAUCUAGCCAUGGGCAGGUUGAAGGUUGGGUAACACUAACUGGAGGACCGAACCGACUAAUGUUGAAAAAUUAGCGGAUGACCUGUGGCUGGGGGUGAAAGGCCAAUCAAACCGGGAGAUAGCUGGUUCUCCCCGAAAGCUAUUUAGGUAGCGCCUCGUGAACUCAUCUUCGGGGUAGAGCACUGUUUCGGCUAGGGGGUCAUCCCGACUUACCAACCCGAUGCAAACUGCGAAUACCGAAGAAUGUUAUCACGGGAGACACACGGCGGGUGCUAACGUCCGUCGUGAAGAGGGAAACAACCCAGACCGCCAGCUAAGGUCCCAAAGUCAUGGUUAAGUGGGAAACGAUGUGGGAAGGCCCAGACAGCCAGGAUGUUGGCUUAGAAGCAGCCAUCAUUUAAAGAAAGCGUAAUAGCUCACUGGUCGAGUCGGCCUGCGCGGAAGAUGUAACGGGGCUAAACCAUGCACCGAAGCUGCGGCAGCGACGCUUGUGCGUUGUUGGGUAGGGGAGCGUUCUGUAAGCCGUUGAAGGUGUGCUGUGAGGCAUGCUGGAGGUAUCAGAAGUGCGAAUGCUGACAUAAGUAACGAUAAAGCGGGUGAAAAGCCCGCUCGCCGGAAGACCAAGGGUUCCUGUCCAACGUUAAUCGGGGCAGGGUGAGUCGACCCCUAAGGCGAGGCCGAAAGGCGUAGUCGAUGGGAAACAGGUUAAUAUUCCUGUACUUGGUGUUACUGCGAAGGGGGACGGAGAAGGCUAUGUUAGCCGGGCGACGGUUGUCCCGGUUUAAGCAUGUAGGCGGAGGUUCCAGGUAAAUCCGGUACCUUUUAACGCUGAGGUGUGAUGACGAGGCACUACGGUGCUGAAGUAACAAAUGCCCUGCUUCCAGGAAAAGCCUCUAAGCAUCAGGUAACACGAAAUCGUACCCCAAACCGACACAGGUGGUCAGGUAGAGAAUACCAAGGCGCUUGAGAGAACUCGGGUGAAGGAACUAGGCAAAAUGGUGCCGUAACUUCGGGAGAAGGCACGCUGACAUGUAGGUGAAGCCCCUGCGGGUGGAGCUGAAGUCAGUCGAAGAUACCAGCUGGCUGCAACUGUUUAUUAAAAACACAGCACUGUGCAAACACGAAAGUGGACGUAUACGGUGUGACGCCUGCCCGGUGCCGGAAGGUUAAUUGAUGGGGUUAUCCUUCGGGAGAAGCUCUUGAUCGAAGCCCCGGUAAACGGCGGCCGUAACUAUAACGGUCCUAAGGUAGCGAAAUUCCUUGUCGGGUAAGUUCCGACCUGCACGAAUGGCGUAAUGAUGGCCAGGCUGUCUCCACCCGAGACUCAGUGAAAUUGAACUCGCUGUGAAGAUGCAGUGUACCCGCGGCAAGACGGAAAGACCCCGUGAACCUUUACUAUAGCUUGACACUGAACAUUGAGCCUUGAUGUGUAGGAUAGGUGGGAGGCUUUGAAGCGUGGACGCCAGUCUGCGUGGAGCCAACCUUGAAAUACCACCCUUUAAUGUUUGAUGUUCUAACCUGGCGCCGUGAUCCGGCGUGGGGACAGUGUCUGGUGGGUAGUUUGACUGGGGCGGUCUCCUCCUAAAGAGUAACGGAGGAGCACGAAGGUUGGCUAAUCCUGGUCGGACAUCAGGAGGUUAGUGCAAUGGCAUAAGCCAGCUUGACUGCGAGCGUGACGGCGCGAGCAGGUGCGAAAGCAGGUCAUAGUGAUCCGGUGGUUCUGAAUGGAAGGGCCAUCGCUCAACGGAUAAAAGGUACUCCGGGGAUAACAGGCUGAUACCGCCCAAGAGUUCAUAUCGACGGCGGUGUUUGGCACCUCGAUGUCGGCUCAUCACAUCCUGGGGCUGAAGUAGGUCCCAAGGGUAUGGCUGUUCGCCAUUUAAAGUGGUACGCGAGCUGGGUUUAGAACGUCGUGAGACAGUUCGGUCCCUAUCUGCCGUGGGCGCUGGAGAAUUGAGGGGGGCUGCUCCUAGUACGAGAGGACCGGAGUGGACGCAUCACUGGUGUUCGGGUUGUCAUGCCAAUGGCAUUGCCCGGUAGCUACAUGCGGAAGAGAUAAGUGCUGAAAGCAUCUAAGCACGAAACUUGCCCCGAGAUGAGUUCUCCCUGAGACUUAGAGUCUCCUGAAGGAACGUUGAAGACGACGACGUUGAUAGGCCGGGUGUGUAAGCGCAGCGAUGCGUUGAGCUAACCGGUACUAAUGAACCGUGAGGCUUAACCUUACAACGCCGAAG
rnacentral:rRNA from 1 species